CAAGAGCUACGUUGUACGUAGUGCUAAUAAAGUUUUAACCUAAGUUGAUAAUCGGGAGUUUAAGAGAAAAAGCGGAAAUGACAAACCUUUGUCUAUAAGACGUGAAGGGCACGCAGGAACGCUUUUGCAAACACCCACUUGUUGAGAGUGGUGGUUUAAAAACUUCAUUAUCCAAUACGGCAAAAGUGGCUCGUUA
rnacentral:other from 1 species